rnacentral:rRNA from 1 species
UACGGAGGGUGCAAGCGUUGCUCGGAAUUAUUGGGCGUAAAGGGUAGGUAGGUGGUCUCGUUUGUCUGGGGUGAAAGCCUUGAGCUUAACUCAAGGAGUGCCCCAGAAACGGCGAGACUAGAGUCCUGGAGAGGGUCGUGGAAUUCCCGGUGUAGCGGUGAAAUGCGUAGAGAUCGGGAGGAACACCAGAGGCGAAGGCGGCGACCUGGACAGGUACUGACACUCAACUACGAAAGCGCGGGGAGCAAACAGG